AUGAGAGACCUUCUUAAGUAUUGCAAAAGAAGGGGCCUGCUGAUAGAGCUGGGCGGGGAGGCGCUAGUUAUCAGGUCAGAGAGAGGCCUGGCCCGUAAGCUGGCCCCCUUUAAAAGCCAUUCCUUAUUAAUAAGGAUUUGUUACGCACGAUAUGCCGACGACUUACUACUGGGAAUCGUGGGUGCCGUAUUUCUUCUCAUAGAAAUACAAAAACGUAUCACCCACUUCCUACAAUCCGGUCUGAACCUUUGGGUAGGCUCCGCAGGAUCAACAACCAUAGUUGCACGGAGUACGGUAGAAUUCCCCGAUACGGUCAUUCGGGAAGUCCCCCCGAGGACGACUCCCAUACAAUUAUUGCAAGAGCUGGAGAAGCGUCUACGGGUAAAGCACCGUAUCCAUAUAACUGCCUGCCACCUACACUCCGCCAUCCAUUCCAUGUUUAGGGACCUAGGUUAUAGUAUCCCUAUCAAAGAGCUGACGAAGGGGAUGAGCGGAAGAGGUCGUCUACUGGACGUGGUUCAACUAGCGGAGACUCUUGGAAAAGAUGGACUAAAAAGUCCCCAAGUUAGCGUAUUAUGGGGGACCGUCAAGCACAUCCGGCAAAGAUCGAGGGGGAUCUCGUUGUUGCAUAGCUCAGGUCAGAGCAAGGUGCCAUCAGGCGUUCAACAGGCAGUCUCACGAUCGGGCAUGAGUGUCCUGAAGAAGAAAUUCUAUACUCCCUUUGGUCGGAAGGCGGCGGGGGAAGGAAGGGGACACUGGGCGGGAUCUUUCAGCAGCGAAUUCCCCAUACAGAUAGAGGCGCCUAUCAAAAAGAUACUCCGAAGGCUUCGGGAUCGAGGUCUCAUUAGCCGAAGAAGACCCAGGCCAAUCCACGUGGCCUCUUUGACCAACGUCAGCGACAGAGACAUAGUAAAUUGGUCCGCGGGCAUCGCGAUAAGUCCUCUGUCCUACUACAGGUGCUGCGACAACCUUUACCAAGUCCGAACGAUUGUCAACUACCAGAUCCGCUGGUCCGCUAUAUUCACCCUAGCCCACAGCACAAAUCUUCGGCGCGGAAUAUAA
rnacentral:rRNA from 1 species